ensembl:lncRNA
UUUUUUUGGCAUCAACAGAACAGUUUACUUUGGACAGGGAUUUAUAUUCUCUCAGUUCCUAGAAGUUUUAUCUGCCAAGGCAUUUGGAGUGGGGCCAGCGAAGCUCACGGAGUAAUGUGGAAAGGAAAAGAAAAUGUGAUGAAACCUUGGCACCUUAAAACAGUUCUUUUUUCUUUUUUUUCCCCCCUUCUUAUUCUCAUAUAAGCUGAUCUGUGAACAAGAAAUGAGGUCUGGCAAUUUGUAUAUAAUACACUGUCUCAAUUCUUAACAGCAUUCCAGUAAGUAAUUGCGCUUUUGGCAUAAGUGGUGAAAUUCCUGCAAGAGAAAGUGAUUCUAAAUCUUUACUUAAUAUUAAAGAUCAGCCUCAGCUAAAAUCCGUAUCCAGACUAUACUUUUUGAGGGUGUUUCAGAAUUUGAACUCAGAGCCAGGUCAUGGAUUUUAAUGAAGCAGAGAUUCUGCAAUGACAUCUCUAUGUUGUAGCUCGAUCCCAUCUCUAUCUACGGUUUCCUGCAAAGCUGAGAGAGUGCUUGCUCAGAAUACUGUGCAAGGUGCACCACUGCACCAAGGUCACCAUUCCCAACUCCAAACCCAGACUUCUGCAGACUUUGUAAUGCUUAAUGGUGGGUUCAUGUUAAUACUGAUAGUUGCAGGACCAGAACUUGAUAGUUGGAGAGAACCAGAAGACAGGAGCCAUCUCCCAUUGAAUGAUGCUGACUGUGUAGUUGGAGCUUCCUGAGAUCCAACCUUACUUCCUUACUUACAACCUUACUGAUUCCUGAGGUCAGCUUCAGGGUCAGAUCCGAUCUCAUCUUUGCUUCAGAGCCCUCAGGUUGCUUUUUGCCGUCCUGCAGCAGCAGACUGAACUUGUGACUGGAAGCCAUCCUGAAGUUCAGGGUUUUGCAGUGGUACUUCCUGGGUUCCAAACUCCUGUCCUCCAGCACAACCCUGCAACACAAGAGCCUUUAAGAAAGGAUUUGGGUUCUUUUGCUUGAUUUUGGGUUUGUUUGGGCGUUUAUUGUGUAUGAAGUAUUAUGGAGAGGGACAGAUUAUUUUAUGGGAGAUGAGUCUGCCCAGAAUUUGAGGUUUUGGGUGCAGGAGAGUUAAGUAAGUCGGUUGUUCUUGGCAUUACAGAAAGGACCUUCCUAAACAAACUGGCACAUCAUUUGCAGCUCUACAAGGAUCAUUUCAGGGACCUUGCAGUACGUUUUGAUUCUCCUGAGGCUGUGAAGAGUGUCAAGGCUAUUGCCAAGGUUGCAGAUGGCCCCAGUCUGUCAUGAUAUGUUAUCACCAGCAUGUGUUGCUCGGGGACUUUCACCGAUGGGAGACAAGAGACACUUAUUCUUCCCAUGUAGUCUGGGAGUUUGUGCAGCUUCUGUUAAGAGUAACUCAGAGUGAAAUGGCUGGGCUGUCAAAGAUGAGAAUCCCCUGAUGGAAAGGAGGAACAUGGAGAAUGUUAUCUCACGUGGGAGCUGCUUUAUUGGCAGGAGAGUAAACAGAAAGGAGGAUUGUAUUUUACCUUAUGAAGCACAUUCCUCUGGGCUGUCCAUCCCAUGCUAUCACUUCAGAAAGACUGAAGCACUUCUUUUUUUCACCUUUAUUGCUUCAGAGGAAUUUUGGUCUGUAUUAGAGAGCAUCCAUAAAACCCUGCAACGUUUUCCCUCAUCCAGAGUCCAAAUGGUGCAAUCAAAGUAUUGUUUCUUUCUUUAUGAUUUCUGAAAUGCCUGUAGUGGUGAAUAUUGUGUUGAAUUUAUAUAUAUAUAUAUAAAAGAACAUUCUAUAUAUAUUAAAAUGGAAAUGUAAUUAAAAUGAAGGAAUUGCCUAAAUAGAAUCCUGCACAUCUGUGAAAUGAGCUGAUGCAUGGAACUGGUUUCUGCUGCAACUUUUGUAGUACUGAGGGUGUGAGAUCAACUGGCUUUUUGCCCACAGAGGAGAAGCUAACCUGUGGUGGGCAAAAGGCCUGAAUCUGCCUUCCUGAGCAGGAUCUUGCCCUGAGAGAGAAGGAAUGAGAUCACGGCAGACAAGAGUGCAAGGACUGAUUUAACUCGCCACCACAAACAUCUCGCCAGUCCUUGGAAAUGCAAACAAUCUACCAGAGCAUGUAUUACCCUUCAGGCAUGCCCAGGUUUUGCAGUUGUCCCUUUUGGUUCUCUCCAUCUCUAGGGAAAAAUAAUCUCUAGGGGAGGGGAGAAGCUGUAGCUGAUGCCUAUUUGGUUUAGCUUUGGCUUGCUCCUAAUUGAUGUAAAGGCUUGGUGAUAACUAAUUCUGCUCCAAGCAAGGAAUGGAAAGCUCGCCAUGGAGCUCAACUGGAGCUGGAGCAGGACUUCAACAGCCCUGGAAAGGAAAGGUGGCAGGAGGCAAGAGCUUCCUGAGGGCUCCAUGCAGCAGCCCAGGCCUUAGAUCUUGUUCUUGCAGGCACUGGUCCCAUUUGGAAUAUUAUUUGCUGCCAGGUCAAGGGAAGGGCUGGAAGUCAGACACUGUGAAAAGGACUGUCCCCAUCCCACUGGCCCUGGUUUGUGAUUACUUCUCCUGCUAGCCCUGAUGGAUUGUAUUUUUGUUAAGCUUUGUUCUCUGUGUGGACUUGCCUGCCUUUGUGCCUUAUUGCUUUUAAAAAGAAAGAAAAACAACAGCCACAAAAGAAAGAUGUUUUGCCAGGUCUCAGCCAUGAGAUUAAACUGGAGUUUUUAUAAAAA